AUUGAACGCUGGCGGCAGGCCUAACACAUGCAAGUCGAGCGGAUGAAGGGAGCUUGCUCCUGGAUUCAGCGGCGAACGGGUGAGUAAUGCCUAGGAAUCUGCCUGGUAUUGGGGGAUAACGUCCGGAAACGGGCGCUAAUACCGCAUACGUCCUGAGGGAGAAAGUGGGGGAUCUUCGGACCUCACGCUAUCAGAUGAGCCUAGGUCGGAUUAGCUAGUUGGUGGGGUAAAGGCCUACCAAGGCGACGAUCCGUAACUGGUCUGAGAGGAUGAUCAGUCACACUGGAACUGAGACACGGUCCAGACUCCUACGGGAGGCAGCAGUGGGGAAUAUUGGACAAUGGGCGAAAGCCUGAUCCAGCCAUGCCGCGUGUGUGAAGAAGGUCUUCGGAUUGUAAAGCACUUUAAGUUGGGAGGAAGGGCAGUAAGUUAAUACCUUGCUGUUUUGACGUUACCAACAGAAUAAGCACCGGCUAACUUCGUG
rnacentral:rRNA from 1 species